GAUAAGUAAUGCGAAUUGCAGAAUUCCAGUGAGUCAUCGAAUCUUUGAACGCACAUUGCGCCCUUUGGUAUUCCGAAGGGCAUGCCUGUUCGAGCGUCAUUAUCACCCCCCCUCAAGCCUCGUGCUUGGUGUUGGACGACUUGGCAGAAGGGGUACAC
rnacentral:rRNA from 1 species